CAUUACGGAGGAAAAGAAACUAACAAGGAUUCCCCUAGUAACGGCGAGUGAACCGGGAAGAGCUCAAAUUUGUAAUCUGGCGUGCUCCGCGCGUCCGAGUUGUAAUCUAUAGAAGCGUUUUCCGUGCCGGACCGUGUCCAAGUCCCUUGGAACAGGGUAUCAAAGAGGGUGACAAUCCCGUACUUGACACGACCCCCGGUGCUCUGUGAUACGUUUUCAACGAGUCGAGUUGUUUGGGAAUGCAGCUCAAAAUGGGUGGUAAAUUCCAUCUAAAGCUAAAUAUUGGCGAGAGACCGAUAGCGAACAAGUACCGUGAGGGAAAGAUGAAAAGCACUUUGGAAAGAGAGUUAAACAGUAUGUGAAAUUGUUAAAAGGGAAACGAUUGAAGUCAGUCGUGUUCAUUGGAUUCAGCUGGUUCUGCCAGUGUAUUUCCUUUGAACGGGUCAACAUCAGUUUGGAUCGGUGGAUAAAGAUGAGAGGAAGGUGGCACCCUCGGGUGUGUUAUAGCCUCUUGUUGCAUACACUGGUCCGGACUGAGGAACGCAGCUCGCCUUUAUGGCCGGGGUUCGCCCACGUCCGAGCUUAGGAUGUUGACAUAAUGGCUUUAAACGACCCGUCUGAAAA
rnacentral:rRNA from 1 species